UGGGGAAUCUUGGACAAUGGGCGCAAGCCUGAUCCAGCCAUGCCGCGUGGAUGAUGAAGGCCUUAGGGUUGUAAAAUCCUUUCGCCGAGGACGAUAAUGACGGUACUCGGAGAAGAAGCUCCGGCUAACUUCGUGCCAGCAGCCGCGGUGACACGUAGGCACCAAGCGUUGUCCGGAUUUAUUGGGCGUAAAGAGCUCGUAGGCGGUUCAGUAAGUCGGGUGUGAAAACUUUGGGCUUAACCCAAAGCGUGCAUCCGAUACUGCUGUGACUUGAGUACGGUAGGGGAGCGGGGAAUUCCUAGUGUAGCGGUGAAAUGCGCAGAUAUUAGGAGGAACACCGGUGGCGAAGGCGCCGCUCUGGGCCGAAACUGACGCUGAGGAGCGAAAGCAUGGGUAGCAAACAGGAUUAGAUACCCCCGUAGUCCCUGAGCGGGCUGGCAAGGCGCAU
rnacentral:rRNA from 1 species